UCCAGUUUGCACAUCGAACUCAUCGAAACGAAGGAGAUCAUCUCUCUCUCCCUCUACUUCUCUCAUCGUUGAUCUCGUCUUGACUGAGCUGAACUCCUCUCUCUCUCUGUCUCUCUCUCUCUCUCUCUCUCUCUCUACAAGCAGACACAGGCACGCAUCCUUAGUCGCGCCUGCGCUACAAUGGCUGCAGCGUCGUGCCCAUCGAGGCCAGUGAGCAAACCUGCAGACGGCUUCUCAUUUGGGACGUCUCCGAAGACACCAAACCAAUUUCUUGGGAGACCAGGCUGCAAGAAUCUAUCGUUCGCUUCAAAUUAUGCAGGCAAAGUGAAAGUCUGCACUUCUCGGAAACUCACUGUUCAGGCUAGGUAUGAUUAUGACUUCUGGCUUCCUGCAAUUUCGUGCUCCCCAAUCUCAGUUUCUCUCCUGUGGUCAAUGAUUGCUUGUUGGAGUCCAACUAUGUUGCAUAGCCAUUUGAUAUCACCUGAUGACUAUUGAAUCAAUAUACACAAGUAACCUGUGGUGAAUAUGGGUGUUGAUAAAGCACGUAAAGUAAUCUGCGCACUUUAGGUGCUUGUCAAAAGACCACGAAUCUAAACUCAUUCUGAACUUGUCAUGCUUAGCUACAUACUCUACAUCUAUGACUUUUCCUGUGACUUCUUUUGCAUUAAUUAGGCACGUGGUAAAUUGUAACUCUUUUGCACCAAAGCAACCUCUUCCAAAGAGGGGACUGAAAUGUUAUGGCACGAGAGAGUAAUGUUCUGACUUUCUGUCUUUUGCACCAAAGCAACCACAUUACAUAUUGAGCCAAAAUUUAAUGAUUAUUUGUGUCAAUAUCUCAAUAGAUAAAAGUUCAUUUUCAUUGGAUCAGCCAACUUGAAAGUAUAGAACGUAGUAUAAAGUCUUACAAGCCAACUUGGAACUAUAGAACGUAGUAUAAAGUCUUACAAGCCAACUUGGAACUAUAGAAUGUAGUAUAAAGUCUUACAAAUUCAAGAUUGCUUUGUCAAUCGAAGAUAUAUACCCAUAGAAGCUUGAAAGGGAAACUGUAGCUUUUAAUAGAAUGGAUGAGAGAGAGCAUUUCGAACAACUACAGAUGGUCCAGGUGCUUCACUCUGUGUUCUCAUUGCAACUACAUACUCAUUUGUCGUGAAUAACUUGUACCUGGUUAAGACUCUGCAGAUCACCUCCUACAGAUGGAUGAUGUCGAGAACUUACGGGAUGUAGAACGGACGAAGAUGCUCUCGCUUUAGCACCUGCUUUGAUUGCCUUCUUAGAGUCUUAACUUUGCAAGCUUCCAUGCACUUAUGCAAACAGGUUGUGUAGCAUCUGGAUCAACUGUGGAGGGGAGGCGUCUUGUCUCCGAGUGUGGAAUGAUUUCAUCCUGCUCAACGAAACAAGGGGAAAUAUAUUCAGCCAAAACAGUCAGCAUGGUCCAUAACAAAGAUUCUAGCUCCAUCUGCAUACACGCAAGUGCAUAGGAAGCAGCAUUCGACAUUUAACCAAAUUUUAGAUCUAACAUCGCCUUUAUUUUUUGUACCAGACACAAUACUUUUGAAAUCCUAUUAUUUAUGGAUAUAGGGAAAACAAAUUUGGACAUAAUAUUAGCUUUACAUUAAA